CCGUUGAGGUGAUGAUACACCAAUUCGCAUAGUUCAUCUGAUUAUUAUGAUGACAAAAUGUAGCACAAAAGUCUUUCGCUCCCAUCUGAUUCAACAA
rnacentral:snoRNA from 1 species